rnacentral:lncRNA from 1 species
UAAAGGAAUAAUGGUAGCCUAGCUUGUUCUUCUUGUAAAAGUGAUGCUUCUUUUUUAAAAAAAAGUACUACUCUCUAGCUUUUAGUGAAAGAAUCAGAUCUUUUCUUUCUUGUUACCUUGGAGUCUUAAAACUGAUUGCUAAGGUGAAACAAUUCAAUAUAUAAGUAUGGAGUUAAGUGCCUUUUGGAGGGUUUCUUGGAAGAGCAUGUAAGAAGAUACUUAAGGGAGAUAGCAAAGAUUUGGAGAGUCUGUCUUUCUAAGUAAGGACAGAAAGAAAGGUUGUCCAGGUUGUACUGGACACUUCCCUCUCCCUCCCCUUUCUUGAUUGUUUUAUGUGACUGAUUUUAAAUUCUCACACUGCCACCUCUUUUUAAAAAAAAAAACAAACGCUCUUAUAUCAGUUGUCAUACUGGGCCAUUGUCAGAUAGCUUUUUUUAAAAUGAUUCAAAAUGGGAUAAGAUUUGGACUACAAAGCAUUUUGGAAGUUAGUAUGAGCUGCUCAAGAAUGGACUCUGAGUGUGACUGGAAGAAUGAUAUCCCUGUAUGUACUGUCUCCCCACUCUUCCUCACCCACUGCCGCCUAUACACUCCCUGCUUUUAAUGGAAAUGUGUUGAAAACAGGUGCUUCUCAAAAGCAGCUUGGCCCCAACCUGAAUUGUGUCCUGUUUUCCCUUCUUGACCCAGUAGGCACAUGGAUUUACUUUUCAUGUCAGAGGAUAGAUUUGCAUUUCUAGCCAUACUCUCAGGUCCUCUGUGAUGUUUGUGAAAGAAAUUAGAGAUGUGUGGUGUGCCAUGAAACAGUAAAACCAGCUACUUUGGAAUCCUUUAACGCAGGGGGCGAUACUGGAGUUAGAGGUAAUCAUAAGGGCAGAUGACAUUUGUACCUCAGACUACCAGAAGUGCAGCAGUAAGUUUAACUUACUAGGCAUUUUCCAGGAGCAAAGGCUUCUAAUUGGUGAACAUUCUCACGAGUGGAGCCAUGCACUUAAUUGGACAGAGACAUGGAAAUGAGUGGCUUCCUUCAGAUACGAGGAACAAUGGACCAUGUUGCUUAUCACUCUGGUAGGGGAUGUAAUUUUCUCUUCUAAGCAAGGGAAAUGGCAGUGCUAAAUAGUUUUGUAACUUUUUGAAUGAGAAAAUUUUAGGUAAAGACAACCUGUCAGAUAAUAUUUUUCAGAUGCAUUUACAUUGACUAUGGGGAAAAGAUUGUGAAAAAAGUUGCAGUCAUGGGUUUUUUGUCUGUCUUGAAAUUUUGGUUUUUAAAAAUCAUGAUACUGUUUUACCAUAAAAUUGAGUAGCUAACUUUUGGUAACACCUUUUGUUUAUUUGUAUGUUUGUAAUAAUGGACAUUUUAAAACACAGGAAUGUUUUGGUUUGUACAGACUUUGAAAAAUGUGUGUUAAUAAAAAUUCAUAUGGACUC